rnacentral:lncRNA from 1 species
GAGCUCUCGAGACUCAACAUUAAGGAAGCAAACAACCAGAAUAAAAAAUGAGCUCUAGAUACUAACAGCCACCUCAUCAAAGACAAUACACAGAUAACAAAUUACCAUAUGAAAAUGCGGUCUCUAUCAUAUGUCAUCAUGGAAAUUCAAAUUAAAGCCACAAUGAGAUACCACUACACACGUAUGAGAAUAGCCAAAAUCCAGAAUACAGACAACACCAUACGCUAAUGAGGAUUAGGAGCAACAGGAACUCGUAUUCAUGCUGGUGGGAAUGCAGCAAGGAACAUUUCCCUCUCUGGAUACAUGUGUUUCAGAUCACAAAGCCACAGAUGAGAGGAAUCUGUCUUUCUAAAUCACUUUUUGAAGAACACCUACUCAAGAGAGUCACCUGACCCCAUUGGAAUAUAAGAUGUGUGGGAAAUCUACCUUAUUGCAUUAAAUUACUCAGAUUUUUGUGUGGUUGGUUAAA